GAUGAACGCUGGCGGCGUGCUUAACACAUGCAAGUCGAACGGACCUUUGAUGAAGCCUAGCGAUUUAAAGGUUAGUGGCGGACGGGUGAGUAACGCGUGGGUAACCUGCCUUAUACAGGGGGAUAACACUUAGAAAUAGGUGCUAAUACCGCAUAAGCGCACAGUAUCGCAUGAUACAGUGUGAAAAACUCCGGUGGUAUAAGAUGGACCCGCGUCUGAUUAGCUAGUUGGUGAGGUAACGGCUCACCAAGGCGACGAUCAGUAGCCGGCCUGAGAGGGUGAACGGCCACAUUGGGACUGAGACACGGCCCAAACUCCUACGGGAGGCAGCAGUGGGGAAUAUUGCACAAUGGGGGAAACCCUGAUGCAGCGACGCCGCGUGAGUGAAGAAGUAUUUCGGUAUGUAAAGCUCUAUCAGCAAGGAGAAAAUGACGGUACUUGACUAAGAAGCCCCGGCUAACUACGUGCCAGCAGCCGCGGU
rnacentral:rRNA from 1 species